rnacentral:rRNA from 1 species
GAUGAACGCUGGCGGCGUGCCUAAUACAUGCAAGUCGAGCGAAGCGGGGACGGGUGAGUAACACGUGGCUAACCUCCUAUAAGACUGGACUAACUUCGGGAAACCGGAGCUAAACCGGAAUCUUAUAGAUGGAUAUGAGUUGCAUUAGCUAGUUGGUACGGUAACGGCUUACCAAGGCAACGAUGCAUAGCCGACCUGAGAGGGUGAGCGGCCAGACUGGGACUGAGACACGGUCCAGACGCCUACGGGAGGCAGCAUUAGGGAAUCGGCCGCAAUGGGCGAAAGCCUGACGGAGCAACGCCGCGUGAGUGAUGAAGGUCUUCGGAUCGUAAAACUCUGUUAUUAGGGAUGCGGUACCUAAUCAGAAAGCCACGGCUAACUACGUGCCAGCAGCCGCGGUAAUAC